CACAGCGCUGAAAUACAAGGGUGGGAACACAGCGUCAGAAGGGUUUUCCCAUUAAAAGUGGGAGAAAUAAAGCACAGAGGGAAAACACCUUCCCUCGCUCUCCAACGGAUUUGUGUCCACAUUCCCUCACCGAGUUUCCUUCGGCCCUCUAGAACAUGAAUGGUGAAAUUGCCUGGGAAUAAUACAAACAGUGUUUGCCUGAGAAACGCAAAAGAAAACUCAUGCGGGGUGAGAGGUCUCCGUGUUCAGAGCACAAGAGGGUUGCGAAAUGCGUAACUCACUUCCGAAAGAUGGUCAUCACCGAGUGUCGAAAAAUGCCUUGCGCUUCAAGGGUUAACCUGUAAACAGGAGGAAUGUCUCUGUGAACAAGAUAUAGUGAUCCAAUCGGAAUGAGCCAAGGAAAGGAAGAGGCUUAAACGUGACUGGCUGCCAUGUGCUUCCUCUCUUUGCCUUCCCAUAAGAUGGAGCACAGCUACAUGGCUCAGCCAGCUUCAAUCACUCAGCUAAGGACCAUAAUCUAGGAACUGGAGAAGCAAAAAAAAAAAAAGAAAAAAAAUUGGAUGGAACUCAAGUCUUUGGAUCAGUUCAUAGAGGAAGUUUGAGCUUACAAACUGGAAAAUUCAUCUUGGUUCUACUGCUUAACAGAGAAACAAAGUGUUGUUUCCUUUAAGCCACUGUAUUUCAAGAUCUCUUUUGUUACAGCAGAAUACAAUGAGUCACAUCUUUUUCCAAUUUUCCCGAGUUCCAGUGCCUCCAUCCCAAUCCUCCUGGGUCCAGCAGGGCACCAGCCUGUUUCAUAAUCAACUGGGGGAAACACACGAGAGAGGAAGGAGAAAUACCAGAAUGGAAGAUUUAGUAUUCCUUAGUCUGUGAUACAGUCAAGAGAUGAGUCGGUGAGCCAUUUCCCACAACUCCGGUGGGUCUCAGAGGGGGACAGAUAUCAAAACUGCUUUUGCAAGCUGCCCUUUACGUGUCCUGAACUUUCGAGCUCAUUCCUCUUUGUCUCCUUUGCACUUCACCUUCACCCUCUAUGAGCUCAUCCACUUUGCUUUCAGCCCGGUAUCUAUACAAACAACUCCCAAGCUCUUGUUGCCCUGUUCAAACCUGUCUCCUGAGCUUCAGGUACCUACACCCAACUGAUACGAUCUGGAAAGUCACAGCCCAAAUGGUUCUUCCUCCUAAACUGUUCUCUUCCCUGUGGUUUCUACUGUGGCCAGUGGUACAACCACCACCCUCCAUCUUCUCCCAACCAAACACCUUCCGUCUUUUCCUCUCCCACGAGAAUCAUCAAAUUCUCCAAUGUGUGAUUCCUUCGGAACAGUGACUUUGUUUUGUAUGCUCCUGAAUCCCCAGUGGCCGAAACAACCCCAGUGACAAUAGGCACUCCAUACACAUUUGCUGUAUGCAUGAAUGGCCCGUAGCUGCUUUUCCAUACCUGCUGAAGGAAGGGGUGAAUGCGUUUCUUUAAGCUGGGUUCUCA